UUCGGCUUCGUACUGGCAAGG
rnacentral:misc_RNA from 1 species